rnacentral:lncRNA from 1 species
CACGGCUGCGAUCUGCGCACGCGCGUGUCCGAGCUCCCCGUGGGUCCUGAGCGCGCGUGUGUGUUCCGCCGGCUCGGGCGCGUGCGCGCGCGUGCCCACGCGUGCCCUGGCGUGUCCUACGCACGUGUCCACGCGUGCCACGAUGUGCUCGUGUAUGGGCGCUGCUCUCGGCUGUUUUCGCCGGCGCCCGGGCACGUGCACGUGAGCUCACGAGCACGCUGGUGUGUUUGUGCAUGCUCUCCACGCGCGUGUGUAUUCUAGCGUGUUCGUGUGCUCGCGCGUGCUUGCGCUUACGUGUGUGUUCUGGCGUGUUCCUGGGGGUGCCUACACGUGCUGCAACAGUCUGCUCGGAUGCAGUGUGGGCAGGUGUGUGCACACGUGUCCAUGUGCCCUGGGGGGGACUGUGCACGUACGCGCACACUUGCAUGUUCGCAUGCGUCACGCGUAUUUCUUCACGCACGUGCCCACGCGCCGGGCAUGCCCACACUUCCCCGUCUCCUCUUGCUUCCAUCUGCUCACCUGUCCUCAGCAGUCACACGUGCACGAACACACCUGAGCACACUGCGCAGGAGCCCCGUGUGCGCACCCCCAGGAACCGGCCAGAACACCCACAAACGCGCUGGCCAGUCUAUUCGCGCAUGCGCGGGUCCUGGCACCCACACGCCCGCGCGUUCCUGCAUGUUUACUGCGCGUUCACGGAUGCGCGUGCGCCCACGCGCGCUCCCUGUGGUCCCUGCGACGGGGCACGCGCACCUGCGCUCACGCGUACCUGCACGUGUGCUCAUCAGAGCCACGGCCCACCCUCAGGUCCCCGGGGAGACCCUGGGCCCAGCAGGACACACCCUGUGGCCACCCCCUCCCAGGAGCUCAGCUGCCUGGACACCCGAGCACCGCUCCCUGCGCCCGGCCCUGCCUCUCCGGCCUCCACGCCGGCUCCUGCCCCCCGCUGACCACAGGCUCCGGGUCACCCUGCUCUGCACACCCCGCAUGGGGAGCCUCUGGCUGGUUGCUCUCUGGGAGCCCGGUCAGGCCUCAGUGGCCACAAAGCUCCUGCCUCUGGGCCUUCACCCGGGCUGUUCCCUUUGCCUCAGGAAUCUGGCGACGUGUCCCCAGCUCAGCGCCACCUCCGGUUACAGUGGCC